UACGGAGGGUGCAAGCGUUGUUCGGAAUUACUGGGCGUAAAGCGCGUGUAGGCGGCGUCUUAAGUCCGAUGUGAAAGCCCGGGGCUUACCCCCGGAAGUGCAUCGGAUACUGGGAGGCUAGAGUACCGGAGAGGAGGGUGGAAUUCCUGGUGUAGCGGUGAAAUGCGUAGAUAUCAGGAGGAACACCGGUGGCGAAGGCAGCCCUCUGGACGGAUACUGACGCUGAGACGCGAAAGCGUGGGGAGCAAACAGG
rnacentral:rRNA from 1 species